rnacentral:rRNA from 1 species
UACGUAGGGUGCGAGCGUUGUCCGGAAUUAUUGGGCGUAAAGGGCUCGUAGGGCGGUCUGUUGCGUCAGGAGUGAAAACUCGGGGCUUAACCCCGAGCCUGCUUCUGAUACGGGCAGACUAGAGGUAUGCAGGGGAGAACGGAAUUCCUGGUGUAGCGGUGAAAUGCGCAGAUAUCAGGAGGAACACCGGUGGCGAAGGCGGUUCUCUGGGCAUUACCUGACGCUGAGGAGCGAAAGUGUGGGGAGCGAACAGG